rnacentral:tRNA from 1 species
GUACUCUUGGUGUAAUGGUAGCAUAAUGGUCCCCAAAAUCAUUGGUUAGAGUUCGAGUCUUUAAGAGUAUGCA